rfam:Capsicum annuum cultivar Zunla-1 chromosome 1, whole genome shotgun sequence
UCCUCAGUAGCUCAGUGGUAGAGAGGUCGAUUGUUAAUCGAUUGAUCGUAGGUUCGAAUCCUACUUGGGAAG